UGCCAGACUCCUACGGGAGGCAGCAGUGGGGAAUAUUGCACAAUGGGGGAAACCCUGAUGCAGCGACGCCGCGUGAGCGAUGAAGUAUUUCGGUAUGUAAAGCUCUAUCAGCAGGGAAGAAGAUGACGGUACCUGACUAAGAAGCCCCGGCUAACUACGUGCCAGCAGCCGCGGUAAUACGUAGGGGGCAAGCGUUAUCCGGAUUUACUGGGUGUAAAGGGAGCGUAGACGGCGAUGCAAGCCAGAUGUGAAAGCCCGGGGCUCAACCCCGGGACUGCAUUUGGAACUGUGUGGCUGGAGUGUCGGAGAGGCAGGCGGAAUUCCUAGUGUAGCGGUGAAAUGCGUAGAUAUUAGGAGGAACACCGGUGGCGAAGGCGGCCUGCUGGACUGCGACUGACGUUGAGGCCCGAAAGCGUGGGGAGCAAACAGGAUUAGAUACCCGGGUAGC
rnacentral:rRNA from 1 species